AGAGUUUGAUUCUGGCUCAGAUUGAACGCUGGCGGCAUGCCUUACACAUGCAAGUCGAACGGCAGCACGGACUUCGGUCUGGUGGCGAGUGGCGAACGGGUGAGUAAUGUAUCGGAACGUACCAUUCAGUGGGGGAUAACGUAGCGAAAGUUACGCUAAUACCGCAUAUUCUCUCCGGAGGAAAGCAGGGGAUCGCAAGACCUUGCGCUGAUUGAGCGGCCGAUAUCAGAUUAGCUAGUUGGUGGGGUAAUGGCUCACCAAGGCGACGAUCUGUAGCGGGUCUGAGAGGAUGAUCCGCCACACUGGAACUGAGACACGGUCCAGACUCCUACGGGAGGCAGCAGUGGGGAAUUUUGGACAAUGGGGGCAACCCUGAUCCAGCCAUGCCGCGUGAGUGAAGAAGGCCUUCGGGUUGUAAAGCUCUUUCGGCCGGGAAAAAAUCGCAUGGGUUAAUACCCUGUGUGGAUGAUGGUACCGGAAUAAGAAGCACCGGCUAACUACGUGCCAGCAGCCGCGGUAAUACGUAGGGUGCGAGCGUUAAUCGGAAUUACUGGGCGUAAAGCGUGCGCAGGCGGUUUUGUAAGACA
rnacentral:rRNA from 1 species